rnacentral:rRNA from 1 species
CUUGAGAGAUAUAAGAGGUCCAGCCUGCCCAGUGACCUAGUUCAACGGCCGCGGUAUCCUAACCGUGCGAAGGUAGCGUAAUCACUUGUUCUUUAAAUAAGGACUAGUAUGAAUGGCACCACGAGGGUUUAACUGUCUCCUUUUUCUAAUCAGUGAAACUAAUCUCCCCGUGAAGAAGCUGGGAUUUUUUUAUAAGACGAGAAGACCCUAUGGAGCUUUAAACUAUUUUACACCUGCUGCCCACAAACCAACUUCCAGAAAUUAACCCUAAAGCACAGCACUUUGAUUAAUAGUUUUUGAUUGGGGUGAUCGCGGAGUAAAAAAUAACCUCCACGACGAAAGGAUUUUUCCUGAGCCAUAAGCCACAGCUUUAAGCACUAAUAUUAUUAACGGCUAUUGACCCAAUAAUUUUGAUCAACGAAC